CGUAGGGUGCAGGCGUUAACCGGAAUUACUGGGCGUAAAGCGUGCGCAGGCGGUCUCUUAAGACAGGUGUGAAAUCCCCGGGCUUAACCUGGGAACUGCGCUUGUAACUGAGAGGCUAGAGUGUGGCAGAGGGGGGUGGAAUUCCACGUGUAGCAGUGAAAUGCGUAGAGAUGUGGAGGAACACCGAUGGCGAAGGCAGCCCCCUGGGCUAACACUGACGCUCAUGCACGAAAGCGUGGGGAGCAAACAGGAUUAGAUACCCUGGUAGUCCACGCCCUAAACUAUGUCAACUGGUUGUCGGGGAAGCAAUUCCUUGGUAACGAAGCUAACGCGUGAAGUUGACCGCCUGGGGAGUACGGCCGCAAGGUUA
rnacentral:rRNA from 1 species